rnacentral:rRNA from 1 species
AUACGGAGGGGGCAAGCGUUGUUCGGAAUUACUGGGCGUAAAGCGCGCGUAGGCGGCUUGGAAAGUCGGGUGUGAAAUCCCGGGGCUCAACCCCGGAACUGCACUCGAAACUUCCUAGCUAGAGUCUCGGAGAGGUAGGCGGAAUUCCCGGUGUAGAGGUGAAAUUCGUAGAUAUCGGGAGGAACACCAGUGGCGAAGGCGGCCUACUGGACGAUGACUGACGCUGAGGUGCGAAAGCGUGGGGAGCAAACAGGAUUAGAAACCCUAGUAGUCC